GACGAACGCUGGCGGCGUGCUUAACACAUGCAAGUCGAACGGAAAGGCCCUGCUUUUGUGGGGUGCUCGAGUGGCGAACGGGUGAGUAACACGUGAGUAACCUGCCCUUGACUUUGGGAUAACUUCAGGAAACUGGGGCUAAUACCGGAUAGGAGCUCCUGCUGCAUGGUGGGGGUUGGAGAGUUUCGGCGGUUGGGGAUGGACUCGCGGCUUAUCAGCUUGUUGGUGGGGUAGUGGCUUACCAAGGCUUUGACGGGUAGCCGGCCUGAGAGGGUGACCGGCCACAUUGGGACUGAGAUACGGCCCAGACUCCUACGGGAGGCAGCAGUGGGGAAUAUUGCACAAUGGGCGGAAGCCUGAUGCAGCAACGCCGCGUGCGGGAUGACGGCCUUCGGGUUGUAAACCGCCUUCGCCUGUGACGAAGCGUGAGUGACGGUAAUGGGUAAAGAAGCACCGGCUAACUACGUG
rnacentral:rRNA from 1 species